UGCUUUCAUGCUAGCUUAUAAUUCUUUGCAAUGCACGGGAUGUAAUUUUUUUUAAAAUAUUUUAUUUUAUUAAUCUAUUUUAUUAUAUAAAAUUAUUUUAUUUUAUUUAUCUAUUAUAUAUAUAUUCUAGCUUAUAACAUCAAUGUGAUUUUUUUCUUCAGAAUCCAGAAUUAUUUUCUAAAUUAAACUUUUGAUUACUGGCAUCCGUUGAGUCGGACUGCCUAGAGAAGGUCUCAGAACUUCCGGAGUCUUUCUUUUCUUUUCCUUUGUUUUAAUCCUUCUCUCUUUUCUUUCGUUUCUCGUUGUCUUCUAUAUCAUCGUUGCUGUAAGCAAAAUCCCGGUUCUCUAAUCACCUCUCUGCUCUCGUCUCUCUCCGAUCCUGUGCUGACGCUUCUGAUCGAUCCCUUCUCCAGUUCCGAUAACUCCCCCUUCCUCUUCCUCGACUACUCCCUUCCUCCUCCUUUCCAACACCGACACCGGCGAAACGAUGCCGCCCAAACCCUAGCCAUAACCUUCUUAAUGCCGGAAACCUAACCAUUUUCAUAGCGGAAUCGAUCUCCGAUCCCGUGCUGAUGCUUCCGAUCGAUCCCUCCCGAGGUAUCUAAUAGGAAGAUAUGAAGUUUGAGG
rnacentral:lncRNA from 1 species